GACGAACGCUGGCGGCGUGCCUAAUACAUGCAAGUCGAACGAACUCUGGUAUUGAUUGGUGCUUGCAUCAUGAUUUACAUUUGAGUGAGUGGCGAACUGGUGAGUAACACGUGGGAAACCUGCCCAGAAGCGGGGGAUAACACCUGGAAACAGAUGCUAAUACCGCAUAACAACUUGGACCGCAUGGUCCGAGCUUGAAAGAUGGCUUCGGCUAUCACUUUUGGAUGGUCCCGCGGCGUAUUAGCUAGAUGGUGGGGUAACGGCUCACCAUGGCAAUGAUACGUAGCCGACCUGAGAGGGUAAUCGGCCACAUUGGGACUGAGACACGGCCCAAACUCCUACGGGAGGCAGCAGUAGGGAAUCUUCCACAAUGGACGAAAGUCUGAUGGAGCAACGCCGCGUGAGUGAAGAAGGGUUUCGGCUCGUAAAACUCUGUUGUUAAAGAAGAACAUAUCUGAGAGUAACUGUUCAGGUAUUGACGGUAUUUAACCAGAAAGCCACGGCUAACUACGUGCCAGCAGCCGCGGUAAUACGUAGGUGGCAAGCGUUGUCCGGAUUUAUUGGGCGUAAAGCGAGCGCAGGCGGUUUUUUAAGUCUGAUGUGAAAGCCUUCGGCUCAACCGAAGAAGUGCAUCGGAAACUGGGAAACUUGAGUGCAGAAGAGGACAGUGGAACUCCAUGUGUAGCGGUGAAAUGCGUAGAUAUAUGGAAGAACACCAGUGGCGAAGGCGGCUGUCUGGUCUGUAACUGACGCUGAGGCUCGAAAGUAUGGGUAGCAAACAGGAUUAGAUACCCUGGUAGUCCAUACCGUAAACGAUGAAUGCUAAGUGUUGGAGGGUUUCCGCCCUUCAGUGCUGCAGCUAACGCAUUAAGCAUUCCGCCUGGGGAGUACGGCCGCAAGGCUGAAACUCAAAGGAAUUGGCGGGGGCCCGCACAAGCGGUGGAGCAUGUGGUUUAAUUCGAAGCUACGCGAAGAACCUUACCAGGUCUUGACAUACUAUGCAAAUCUAAGAGAUUAGACGUUCCCUUCGGGGACAUGGAUACAGGUGGUGCAUGGUUGUCGUCAGCUCGUGUCGUGAGAUGUUGGGUUAAGUCCCGCAACGAGCGCAACCCUUAUUAUCAGUUGCCAGCAUUAAGUUGGGCACUCUGGUGAGACUGCCGGUGACAAACCGGAGGAAGGUGGGGAUGACGUCAAAUCAUCAUGCCCCUUAUGACCUGGGCUACACACGUGCUACAAUGGAUGGUACAACGAGUUGCGAACUCGCGAGAGUAAGCUAAUCUCUUAAAGCCAUUCUCAGUUCGGAUUGUAGGCUGCAACUCGCCUACAUGAAGUCGGAAUCGCUAGUAAUCGCGGAUCAGCAUGCCGCGGUGAAUACGUUCCCGGGCCUUGUACACACCGCCCGUCACACCAUGAGAGUUUGUAACACCCAAAGUCGGUGGGGUAACCUUUUAGGAACCAGCCGCCUAAGGUGGGACAGAUGAUUAGGGUG
rnacentral:rRNA from 2 species